ensembl:misc_RNA 7SK 7SK RNA
AGGUGUGAGAGCAACCUGGCUGAGGCUCCCAUAACACUAUGGGUCAUCAGGGUUGAUUUGGAUGAUCUGGUUGGCAGAUGGGAUCCCCUUUGCUUUAUAUUCCAUGAAGUUGCACAUUUUCUCAGAGAGAAACACCAGAGAAAGAAAAGCCUUCAUACAAAUAAGGGAAUACAAAUGCUGUGCCUCCCCAAAGCCUCCAAACAAGUGCAGAUACAUCUGCAGUUUAUAUUAAUUAGGUCAAGCAUAUCUACAAAAUCUCUUAAUAUUCUUGGCACCUGAUGGGUAAGACAUUGUUU